GCCCGGGUCCGCUGGUCCGUGUCCGCCCGCUCCCCGGACCUCCGGCCCGUCCGUUCCGCCCUCGCCCGCGGACCCGGUCCGGAAGGCUACACCGGCCCCACCGUCCUCGGCUGGGCCACGCGGUCCUGCCUUCAGCCUCCGGACGGGCCUGCGGGCGAGAGCCGCUGUCCUGCCCUGGCCGCGAGCCUGGUGGACGUGGGCGGGGGAUCCGGAGGGAAAAGGUCUCACGAGUCCUGUCCUGGGAGAAGAGCAGCGGGGAGAGGCCGGCACUGGUCCCGUCCCGACCGCGUGCCCCUGGUGCUCUUGGCGCCUCAGCGGCAGUGUGGGCCGGACUGCACGCGGCCCCUCACUGCACCUGUGUUGUGAGUUUGAGCAGUGAUCCUCUGGAAGCCAGACCCAUCUGUAUUACGGCACCUUUCAUAUUUGAGCUGUACUUCACGUUACUGAGAGUCAAAAUAAUACGCGGAAGAUGCACAAGCAUAAACUGUUGGGAUAGGUGAUUGUCGCUCCAGUGCACAGAAUGUCUCCCUGAAACAUUUGCUCACUUUUGGAGGUGAUUGUCGCUCCAGUGCACAGAAUUAAGAAUCUGGCUUCUACUUGGAUGGUUAAAGAACUCUUCUCUUCCCUGGGAGUUGACUGUAAUAUCUUGGAACUUGAUCAAGUUGAUGAUGGGGCCAGUGUUCAAGAGGUGCUGUCGGAGAUCACUAAUCAGAGGACCGUGCCCAAUAUCUUUGUGAAUAAGGUGCACGUGGGCGGAUGUGACCGAACUUUCCAGGCACAUCAGAGUGGUUUAUUACAGAAGCUCCUUCAGGAAGAUCCAGCAUAUGAUUACGACCUCAUUGUCAUUGGUGGUGGCUCUGGCGGCCUUUCGUGUGCUCAGGAAGCUGCCGCUUUGGGGAGGAGAGUCAUGGUGCUGGACCUCGUGGUCCCGUCGCCCCAGGGCACAUCGUGGGGUCUCGGUGGUACUUGUGUGAACGUCGGCUGCAUCCCGAAGAAGUUGAUGCAUGAAGCCGCCCUUUUGGGCCAGGCGCUGACUGACUCGAGGAGGUUUGGCUGGGAGUGCGCUCAGCAAGUGAAGCACAACUGGGAGACCAUGACCGAAGCCAUUCAGAAGCACGUCGGCUCUCUGAACUGGAGCUACCGGCGGGCUCUGAGGGAGAAGGCGGUGGCCUACGUCAACUCCUACGGGGAAUUUGUUGAACACCAUAAAAUCAAGGCAACCGAUGGAAAAGGACAGGAAACGUAUUAUACUGCAGCAAAAUUUGUCAUAGCAACAGGGGAAAGGCCGCGCUAUUUGGGAAUCCAAGGAGAUAAAGAAUACUGUAUCACUAGCGAUGACCUCUUCUCUCUGCCCUACUGCCCGGGCGCGACCCUGGUGGUGGGCGCAUCCUCCGUGGCGCUGGAGUGCGCAGGCUUCCUGGCCGGCCUGGGCCUGGAGGUCACGGUCAUGGUGCGCUCGCAGCUCCUGCGGGGCUUCGACCAGGAGAUGGCCGAGAAGGUGGCUGCCUCCAUGCAGCAGCUCGGCGUCCGAUUCCUGCGCAAGUUCGUGCCCGUGGAGGUUCAGCAGUUGGAGAAGGGGUCACCCGGGAAGCUGAAGGUCGUGGCUAAAUCUGCGGAAGGGACAGAGAUGAUUGAGGGCCUUUACAACACGGUUUUGUUAGCAAUUGGUCGUGACUCCCGUACGAAGAACAUCGGGCUGGAGAAGAUUGGUGUCAAAGUCAAUGAGAAGACUGGCAAAAUCCCAGUGAACGACGUGGAGCAGAGCAGCGUGCCCUAUGUCUACGCCGUCGGGGACGUCGUGGAGGGUAAGCCUGAGCUCACGCCCGUCGCCGUGCAGGCGGGCAGGCUGCUGGCUCGAAGGCUUUUUGGGGGCCGUUUAGAAAAGUGUGACUAUAUCAAUGCCCCCACCGUGGUGUUCACGCCCCUGGAGUACGGCUGCUGCGGGUACGCGGAGGAGAAAGCCGUGGAAGUGUACCGGAAGGAGAAUCUGGAAGUAAGGUGGUGUGACUGUGGCAUGUUCAGACCUUCUCUUUUAAUCCACGGUUUGUCUUCAGCCACUUUUUAUUUUGUAGUUUUGCGAGUUACCGUAAUGGUUGUAUUGUAGGAAAUUGUAUUCCUACUUCAGGAAAAUUGGAAAUUAAAUAACGUAAACCCCGUCUGUAGCGAACUGUAAUAAUCACACAGCUGGGGAAAGAAGGACACGCUGCGUGCAUCAGGGCUCCGAGCUGCAACAGGCGUCUGCCUGAGGAAGCUGACGGGAGGGUCGCCGUGCGACCUUCGGGGGCGCGGGAGCGUCCGAGGCCUUGGGCAGGGGUGGGAGCCAGGAGCUGGGAGACGCGUCAGCUCCUCUCCCUGGUGGGGGUUUGUGCGUGUGUGCGGGCAGUGCUGUCCCUGGAGGAACAGAAAUGCACGUAGCGGCAGAAUGCGGCCCUUCCCUGCUCCGAGUUCACCCAUAGUUCUGGCCUUUGGAGGAGCUGACUGACUCACUGUUGUUCGUCUCAGUUACAAAUUAUGAGGGACGUCCGCUGGUCCGGGCUGGGUGUGCCGUCCACCCCCUCCCGCUUGGCGUGACGGGAGCCAGACACAGGCAGGACCUGGUCCGGGACCCUCCGCCACCCGCGGGCUCAGAGGAGGGGCAGGUCCGGGGCUGUCGGCCUGCUGGGGGCUCCUCAGACGCCCCGAAGGUGCUCUCGCCUCCCCUCCACCCCUGCCCGUCUGGUCCUAACUGCCUCGUAAGCAGGAGGGGCGGGGAGGUGAAAAGGGUCAGAGGUUUAGGACCACUCGAUGUUUGAAGGCAGUGAGUUGAAGUCGCAGGCCCUCCCCUGGCUGCGGGAAUCCUCCGAAGCACAGGCUGAGGCUCCCGUGCCUAAUGGCCGAGUGACUUCCUGAGACUCGCUUUUACGUUUCCGGGCUGGGGGACCAGGAUGAUGACAGACGCUGCUAUUUUAGGUGGUGUUUUCGAUGGGAAAUUCCCAUUUUAGAGGACUUUAUUUGAUCAGUGUUUAUAAUUCACUUCUGGUAAUAAUGAACCACCCAUUUGCAGUGGUGAACUUUUACCUGGGUCUUGGAAAAGUGAUGGUAACAAUUAUGGAUUUAACACUUAGUUCUAAAACUUUCUGAAAUCAAUGAGCAAUUAAGCUCGGCAGGCACGUGAGAGGAAGGAUGCAGGAGGCUGUACCCCAGAUAAAGGGAUGUCUCUGUAGGAAGGGUUCCCAGGUUUGUGGGGUUACUUUAAGGUCUCUUUCCUAAGGCUCACUGCAGAUCAACUCACCUAGUCUGUACAUCUAUUUAUUGCAUUUUACAGGACUGAAAAUUUGAUCUAUUAGUAUUUUUUUAAUAUUCCAACUAUAAAGAGGAAUGAGGAAGCCUCUCAUAAACACACAUAUAGUUUCUUUUAAAUGAGGAAAUUAGGUGAAAAGCAGAUGAGGGUAGAAACAAUAAGACAGCGUAAGAAGAAAGAUUAAUUGGUUCACAGAAUUCAUGCCGUGAAGUCCGGGGCACUCUCAUGUCUCUGAUAAUGCACUUGUAUGCAGAGUAUCUGAAGAACUCUUACAACUCAACAAUAAAAAAAAACCCCAAAUGACCCAGUUUUUUAAAGGGCAAAGAAUCUGAAUAGAUGUUUCUCCAAAGAACAUACACAAAUGGCCAAUAAGCACAUGAAAAAGUUCUCAGUAUCAUUAAUCGUCAGGGAAACGUACCUCCAGACCUUAGUGAGAUACCACAGGGAUGACCUGUAAAAACGUUCACUGUUUCUGUGGGGUCUUUUCACCUUCUUGACGGUGCCCUUUGAAGCACGAAAAUCUUUCAUUCUGAUGAAGUCCAGUUUGUCUUUUUUGUUUUCUGUUGCCAGCCACAUGGACUUUGAUGUCACUUUUGAUAAAUCAGUGCCUAAUCCAAAGUCGUGAAGGUUGAUGCCUAUGUUUUUUCUUCUAAGAGUUUUACAGUUUUCAGCUCUUACGUGUGGGUCUGUGGUCCAUUCGGAGUUAUUUUUUGCACACGUGUGAGGUAGGGUCCGACUUCCUUCUUUUGCAUGUGGAUGCCCAUGUCUCUGGGAACAGCUCCUUCCUAGUAGAGGAAACACCGCCAGUGAUCCAGCUGCACAUUUGAGUAUAAUUGGGAGAGUGGGGAUGAGAGUGCAGGGGCCAGGGAAGAACGGCUUAAAUCCUCCUCAACAGGGCGAGUCAGUAAGUGCAGCCGAGCACGGAGAGUCGCGUGAGAGCAGCGUGAGCGUGUUGUGCAGAAGCACGGGGGCGACCGACCGCGCGCGCAGGACGUGCAGGUCUACCACACUUUGUUCUGGCCUCUCGAGUGGACAGUGGCCUGCAGAGACAGCAACACCUGUUACGCGAAGAUUAUCUGCAGCAAAUUCGACAAUGUACGUCA